rnacentral:rRNA from 1 species
UACGGGGGGAGCAAGCGUUGUUCGGAUUUACUGGGCGUAAAGGGCGCGUAGGCGGUCGUGACAAGUCACUUGUGAAAUCUCCGGGCUUAACUCGGAACGGUCAAGUGAUACUGUCGGACUAGAGUACAGAAGGGGCAACUGGAAUUCUCGGUGUAGCGGUGAAAUGCGUAGAUAUCGAGAGGAACACCUGCGGCGAAGGCGGGUAGCUGGGCCGACACUGACGCUGAGGCGCGAAAGCUAGGGGAGCGAACGGG